rnacentral:lncRNA from 1 species
UUUCUUCGUUUCUCUUCCAAAUCUAUUUAAUACCAUCAAUCACCUCUUCAUAUUCUAAAUCUACAAAUACAAUCAAUCACAUCAUAAACAUAUUUGCUCAGAUCCGUUCAAAAUAUUAUUUAGAUCUCUAGUAAUAUUUUCUCAAAUAUUUAAAAAAUAUCUAGGAAGUGGAAGGUUUCCGAUGAGUCAAAACCAGAGUGGAGGAUCCCCUUAGCUUAAUCUGGUUAUUGACCAAAAGUAGCCAAUGGUAUAAUACCCUCCCUGGCUCCCUUUCUAUCCCCAUUCUUGCAAUGUUAAACAAUGGUAUGUCCACUUCUCUUUUCCAGCUUUAGAAUCUGAAGUGACAUGGUGGAUUGCAAGUCAGAAUUAUGUGGGACAUUGAUAGAAAAAGAUUUCAAAUGAGAAGUAAUAGAAUAUAUUAGAUUCGUGUGAGGUUUUAAUUGUUGUUUUAAACCAUAUACAUUUUUAUUUUUUAUUUUUUCAUCCAAUUUCCAAUAUGUAUAUUAAGAAUUAUAUGUGAGGUACUCUCUUAUUUGUUUUCUUACAUACAUCAAAGCAUUUUUAUAAAAAUUCUCAAAGCGACAUACUAAAGGUGCAAUGCACCAUUUACAAAAUUUAAUUUCAUCCUAAUUUUAUUGUACUCCACAUAGUAGAUAGAAAAUAACUUGUUUUAGUUGAAAAUUGUUUAUCCUUUUAUUAAGAGAUGAAUGACAUGAAAGGUGAAAUUUUUUUUAUUCAUCUCAAUUUUCAUAUUCAACUCGUUUUAUUCAUAUGACUAUUAUACAUUCUAUCAACUCGUUUAUUUUAUUAAUAAUCAUUUGCAGCCUAAGUGAGGUAAGUAAUCUAAUAGAACUUUCUAAGCGUUUUAUUGUUUCUUCAUUUCUUAUCCAUCUCUUCAUGUAAGAUAGUUCUUAUCCAAUAUUAUAUAAAAGUACUUAUGCGUGACUUACUCUCUUAUUUGAUUUUCUACAAUUAUCAUUGAAAUGAAAAAGGAAAAAAAAAAAAAACUAAACGUUUUGUACCAAAAAUACAAUCUCAAAGCACUCGAUUCUCGUCAAUCUUUUUCUGGCAUACUAAAGGUACAAAUGGUUGAUACAUUUUAGGAGGUUAAAAGAGAUAAAUCUAGCUUUCAACUAUAUUCAACGAGAAAUGCACCAUUUACGCUCCACAAUCAUCACAAGAACCAUUUCAACCGGAUUUGUACCUUCAAUACCAGAGGAUAGACUUGUUCAACAGGUGUUCCAGGCUUUAGAGCCACACCUGGCCUCAUCCCAACAGACUUAAUAUUUUCCACAAGUUCUUGCCAAUUCUCUGAAAAUAAGCAAAACACAAGUCAAGACCGAGCAUUAGGAUGAGACAAAAUUGGAGGAUGGUGUAGGGGAAAGAGCUAUCUAUAUAUACCUUUGGCCACCUCAACGUGCAAUGUGAAACCAGACGCCCCAGCUUUAGCCAUUUGAUCCACGUAAAUUAUAUACCAUUUGAGCUAUCUAUAUAUCCAGUUUGGGUAAAUUAUCCAAAGUCCAAACCAAGCCAAACCGACCCGAACCGAUCCUAAAUCUGUUUUUUUUUUCCGAUUCAAAUUCGGAUAAAACCAAAGAACCGGAUCGGUUCAUGUUCUUAUAGUUUCGGUUCUCAGUUACGGUAUGCACCUAGUUAACCAGAAUCAAAUUGAAAUUAAAAACCCUAGUUCCGACCUCGACUUGAUUUGUA